CACACAAGCAGAACUGCAAAAGUUACAGAGACUGUUCAAUUCUAGCCAGGAGGAGUUACGGACUGUGAAGAGAAAUCUUCUAUCUACGACAGAGGAACUCAACAGCACUAGGAUUGAACUUGAAGAGACAUCCUUUGAAUUGAAUGAAACGAGGACCAAGCUAGAUAAUUCAACUCUAAAAGAAGCAGGAUGUACUGAUUUUAUCGGUGAAAAAGAAAGCCAGGAGGAGUCACGGACAAGAUGUGCGCUGCAAAGAGGAUCUCUGACGAAAUGGGACUUUCUAUACUCCUGUCAUUACUACAACGAGAUUUUCAAUUUCGAGCAAUAUAUAAAGCUACUGACAUGGGUGUCCUCAACUCGCAGAAUAAUGGGAGUGAAGAUUACUGACAAUCUCAUCGAAUUCUUCAAAGAUCUGGAUGAGGAAAACAGCUGUGAUGACGUUUGACCUCGCUCCCGGAAUAGAUUGUGUUAUAUCG